rnacentral:piRNA from 1 species
UGAAAUGUGCUAAAUGCAAUCAAUUCCGAGC